rnacentral:rRNA from 1 species
CCUACGGGCGGCAGCAGUGGGGAAUAUUGGUCAAUGGGCGCAAGCCCGACCCAGCAACGCCGCGUGAAGGUAGAAGGCCCUCGGGUUGUAAACUUCUUUUGUCAGGGACGAAACAAAUGACGGUACCUGACGAAUAAGCCACGGCUAAAUACGUGCCAGCAGCCGCGGUAAUACGUAGGUGGCAAGCGUUAUCCGGAUUUACUGGGUGUAAGGGGCGUGUAGGCGGGAGAGCAAGUCAGAUGUGAAAUUCCAGGGCUCAACCCUGGAACUGCAUUUGAAACUGUUUUUCGUGAGUGACGGAGAGGCAGGCGGAAUGCGGGGUGUAGCGGUGAAAUGCGUAGAUAUACGGAGGAACACCAGUGGCGAAGGCGGCCUGCUGGACAUUAACUGACGCUGAGGCGCGAAAGCGUGGGGAGCAAACAGGAUUAGAUACCCGAGUAGUC